GGGUUACAAAGCGGCUUGCAGUUGGUGAAACAAUUGCAGGAAGCCUUAAAAGGUGCCUCCUGGGAGCAUAUAUAUGCACAUACUGGUUUUUUCUACCUAACCUCAUUUUUACUCUUCUUUCUUUCUCUUUUUAAAUCACUGUUGUGUUUACAGAUUUCUGCUCAUAGUAUACGGCCCUUACCAGGCAUCUGUGGCACUGUCUGUUUUUCAUUUGUACUACUUUUCAGUCUUUAUCAUGCUCCUGUAACACAACAAUUUAUCUUUUGGGAUCAAUAAGGUAUCUAUCUAUCUAUCUAUGGUAUUAUCAUAACAUGCAAUUACAUUUGUGACUACAAUGUUCCACACUAUAAAAACUGUCCUUCAGUACACAUUCACACGCUUGUCCUUGUCAUCAGGACUCUAUUUUCUAUUUCAGCUCUUCACAGUGAGCCGUUUCCUGAGACAAGGCUUUGAAGUGGAUGAGGGAGGUGAGACACCGUGCGCCCAGCUGCCCAGCCGCUGUGGUUAAGGGGUCUUUAUCACGCAGACAAGGGGGACAGCACUCAGCUCUUGCCCUUCUAUCUUUCACCGCGGCAGAAGAGUGAUUUUGACAACCAGCGCACCCCAGCUGCGCAGGGGCCAGGCCUGCGAAACCACAGGCGGAUAAUGAAUGCCACACCAUCGUGACAACUUGCACUUUUAUGGAAAGGGGAGGAAGGACACUUGUGCUCACAGCGUAUGAUGGGACGUCCCCCAUAAACCAGACAAUCAAAGCGAGGGCAGAUAAGCAUCUGUGGAAUCUGUGACGGGAACCUCCGCUGAUUUAUGGGCACUACUGGAAAAGAAAACGCCACAGCGCAGGAUCACGGUGGCAGGCAGGGAGCCAGAAUAGCCUGAUGUUCUGUCGAAGGGUGAGGCGGAUGAGGGUUUCAGACGCAUUGCCUCACCCAAAGCCUGAGGCUAAGCUGCAAUGAGUUGGAAUGAGACCA
ensembl:lncRNA